GUGAUUAGCUGCAGUCGAGCGAGAAGGAAAUCAAAGUUUACUUUGGUUUCCGGAAAGCGGCGAAAGGGAGAGUAACGCGUAGUUAUCUACCCCAAGGCCCGGAAUAGCUGCGGGAAACUGCAGGUAAUGCCGGAUAAUAUCCCCGGAUCAAAGGUGUGAAUCCGCCUUGGGAGGAGACUGCGUUGUACUAGCUUGUUGGUAGGGUAAUGGCCUACCAAGGCUACGAUGCAUAGCGGGCGUGAGAGCGUGGCCCGUCUCACUGGGACUGAAACACUGCCCAGACACCUACGGGUGGCUGCAGUCGAGAAUCUUCGGCAAUGGGCGAAAGCCUGACCGAGCGAUGCCGCGUGCGGGAUGAAGGCCUUCGGGUUGUAAACCGCUGUCGUAGGGGAGAAAGGGCCGUCGAAGAGACGGUUUUGAUCUAUCCUAGGAGGAAGUCCGGGCUAAGUUCGUGCCAGCAGCCGCGGUAACACGAACCGGACAAACGUUAUUCGGAAUUAUUGGGCUUAAAGGGUGCGUAGGCGGUGCGGUAAGUGCGGUGUGAAAUCCCACGGCUCAACCGUGGAAUUGCGCUGCAUACUGCCGUGCUAGAGGGAGACAGGGGUAAGCGGAACUGAUGGUGGAGCGGUGAAAUGCGUUGAUAUCAUCAGGAACACCGGUGGCGAAAGCGGCUUACUGGGUCUUCUCUGACGCUGAGGCACGAAAGCUAGGGUAGCGAACGGGAUUAGAUACCCCGGUAGCCCUAGCCGUAAACGAUGAGCACUUGAUUGAGGGCCCCCCCAUAGGCUCUCGAUCGCAGCGA
rnacentral:rRNA from 1 species